AGUGGAUACAAACAAGUUCUUGAACAGGGAUGACUAAAGUGUCGGGGGGAGAAAUGUCACUGAACUAAAGAGGGAUCCAAGCAGAACCACCAGGAAUUGACAUCAUUCUGAGAGCAGAGUUCCCAUGGCAGCAGCAACAGAGCCAAUGAGAGCAGCUGAGUGAAGGAGUGGUGGCCACUGGUGGGUAAACAGAGACUCUGUGACAUGUCAGCAUUCUGGACAUUAUACUCAGGAGGAGGCAUUGCCCAUUCAAAAUGUACAAGCUGUGUCUUCAGUUGAUUCCUAAAGCAGCAUGAUAUACAUAACUAUUAAGCAUACACCAAAGCUUCACCCAGACCUGGCAGUUGCUCCCUGCUCUUGUAACUUUGAGGCAGUAGUUUCAGUGGGAGAAGAUCAGGGCUCUGAAACACACAUGACCUAGAGGCUAUAGAGAACUGAGAACAUGUUUGUGGGCAAAAUCAACACAUCUUAGCAAAGCUUGGUUUUGACGUUAAACCUUCAAGCCCACACAUUACUAAGUGGUUCCUUUUGGCCAUAUCCUUCCUAAGACACUGGGGAAGCUCCAGGACAGCCACGCACUUGCUUGAAGAAUGGAGUGAGGGAUGGAGCACGCUGGCCUCAUAGAAACCACACCACAUUAAGUUCCAGCAACUGCAGAAGGCUUCUUUGGAUCCAUCUGCUGGGGAUUCACAGCGAGCUACCAUACUCUCUCACACACAGCUUUCCAUGGCCAGCGAAGAGGAAGGAGCCCAGGCUAUGCAUCAGAGAAGCAAGGAAUCUAUAUCAUCAUCCCACCUCACCUCUGCCAAAGAUGUUUAAAAAAGAAGUGGAUUGCACAUAGCAUCUGCCCAGACCUGACUCCAGAUUCAGGGUCCUAAACUCAGACCCCAGCUUUCUACAGUCUGUCCAUCUACUUCUCUCCACU